UAGGGAAUCUUCCGCAAUGGGCGAAAGCUUGACGGAGCAACGCCGCGUGAGUGAUGAAGGUCUUCGGAUCGUAAAACUCUGUUAUUAGGGAAGAACAAAUGUGUAAGUAACUAUGCACGUCUUGACGGUACCUAAUCAGAAAGCCACGGCUAACUACGUGCCAGCAGCCGCGGUAAUACGUAGGUGGCAAGCGUUAUCCGGAAUUAUUGGGCGUAAAGCGCGCGUAGGCGGUUUUUUAAGUCUGAUGUGAAAGCCCACGGCUCAACCGUGGAGAGUCAUUGGAAACUGGGAAACUGGAGUGCAGAAGAGGAAAGUGGAAUUCCAUGUGUAGCGGUGAAAUGCGCAGAGCUAUGGAGGAACACCAGUGGCGAAGGCGACUUUCUGGUCUGUAACUGACGCUGAUGUGCGAAAGCGUGGGGAUCAAACAGG
rnacentral:rRNA from 1 species